rnacentral:rRNA from 1 species
GGUGACAGGUGCUGCAUGGCCGUCGUCAGCUCGUGUCGUGAGAUGUUGGGUUAAGUCCCGCAACGAGCGCAACCCCUACGUUUAGUUGCUAACAGGUGAAGCUGAGCACGUCUAGACGAACUGCCGUUGACAAAACGGAGGAAGGUGGGAUGACGUCAAAUCAUCAUGCCCCUUAUGUUCUGGGCUGCACACGUGCUACAAUGGCCGGUACAGACGGAGGCGAAGCCGCGAGGCGGAGCAAAUCCGAAAAAGCCGGUCUCAGUUCGGAUUGCAGGCUGCAAUUCGCCUGCAUGAAGUCGGAAUCGCUAGUAAUCGCAGGUCAGCAUACUGCGGUGAAUACGUUCCCGGGCCUU